rnacentral:rRNA from 1 species
GUUCAGUCUUCUGACCCUAUUGAUAUCUUGAAUAUCAAACUUAAAAGAUUCAAAACCUACUUCAAAGGUUGGGGAUCGGAUAAAUAUGGCCACAACAAAAAAAGAAAAGAAGAGCUCCGGAUGGAGCUGGCCAUGCUAGAAGAGCUAGAAGAAGAUGGUCCCUUGUCCCCUGAGCUAUACAACAUCAAGGUUGAUGUUAGUACUGAGCUUCAUGACAUACUGGUGAAUGAGGAGAUAUAUUGGCUCCAACAGUCUCAUGAACGCUGGCUCUUGAAAGGGGACCUGAAUACGGACUAUUAUCAUAAAAUUGCAAAUGGCCGAAAGAGGAAGAACACAAUCCACUCCCUUAAAGGCGAGGAUGCGGAGAUCGAGGGCACUGACAAUCUGCUUGCUCAUGCCACGGAGUAUUACAAAAAUCUGUUCGGACAUGGGUCCGGUAAUCUGUUCCACCUUGAUCCUGACACUUGGUCUGUUGAGGAAAAGCUCGAUGCUAGUGAUAAUGCUGAUUUGUGCCGUGAGUUCAUGGAGGAAGAGAUCAAGGAGGCGCUGUUCUCUAUGGCUUUCAGGUAUGCUGGGAUGUUCUAUCAGGUAUGCUGGGAUAUCGUUAAAGAUGAUCUUGUGAGGCUUUUUGUGAGCUUUCAUAAUGGGACUUUGGAUGUUCAACGUCUUAACUAUGGGGUGAUCACCCUUUUGCCCAAAUCUUCAGGCGCGGAUAAAAUCCAGCAAUUUAGAUCUAUAUGUCUCCUGAGAUGUCCAUAUAAGCUUAUUACUAAAGUUUUGGAUCGGCGAGUGGAGAGGUACGCUGAUAAGCUCAUUAGCUCGACCCAAAAUGCUUUUAUCAAGGGAAGAAGCAUUAUGGACGGGGUGUUGUCGCUGCAUGAAAUUUUGAAUUAUACCCAUGUGAAAAAGAGGGUGGGGGUCGUCUUGAAGCUCGACUUUGAGAAAGCGUACGAUAAGGUGAACUGA